rfam:Firmicutes bacterium CAG:882 genomic scaffold, scf227
UUUGGAAGAAGCGUAGUUGUUCUUAGGACUAUAAAUACUAACCCAGCUGGAGCCAACAUGGAUGUUGGCUCAGAAGCAAUGCAUACAGGGAUGUAUGCUUUGCUUCGGCAGCGAACACUGUUAAACAUAUUUAUAUAGUCCUUAGAACAACUUGCUUCGAACAAC